rnacentral:snoRNA from 1 species
GAGAUCAUACUUCACAGAAUCAUUUCUGUAGUAUGUAUUUCACCACAUGUCACAAAACUGUGGCGAGAUGAACCCGCGAUGAUGAGGUGGGGCACCGUUCCUUGAGCGUGAAGAAGCUUGUCGUUAUUAACGAUAUAAAAUGGUGACGGUGAGCUUGAUGACCGCCCAGGGACCCGUUUUGUAGGGUUCCUGAGGGGGAUGGUGCUGUCUGAGCGGU